AUCAGGAGUAAGAAUAACAGGAUCAUCUUG
rnacentral:piRNA from 1 species